CAGUAGCCACGGUAAUGCGUAGGGUGCAAGCGUUAAUCGGAAUUACUGGGCGUAAAGCGUGCGCAGGCGGUUAUAUAAGUCAGAUGUGAAAUCCCCGGGCUCAACCUGGGAACUGCAUUUGAGACUGUAUGGCUAGAGUGUGUCAGAGGGGGGUAGAAUUCCACGUGUAGCAGUGAAAUGCGUAGAUAUGUGGAGGAAUACCGAUGGCGAAGGCAGCCCCCUGGGAUAACACUGACGCUCCUGCGCGAAAGCCAGGGGAGCGAACGGGAUUAGAUACCCGUGUAGUCCCUGUCUCUUAUAC
rnacentral:rRNA from 1 species